UACGUAGGUGGCAAGCGUUGUCCGGAUUUACUGGGCGUAAAGAGCGCGCAGGCGGUCGUUCAAGUCGCGUGUGAAAGCCCCCGGCUCAACUGGGGAGGGUCACGCGAUACUGAUCGACUCGAAGGCAGGAGAGGGUAGUGGAAUUCCCGGUGUAGUGGUGAAAUGCGUAGAGAUGUGGAGGAACACCGAUGGCGAAGGCAGCCCCCUGGGUCAAGACUGACGCUCAUGCACGAAAGCGUGGGGAGCAAACAGG
rnacentral:rRNA from 1 species